GACGAACGCUGGCGGCGUGCUUAACACAUGCAAGUCGAGCGGUAAGGCCCUUUCGGGGGUACACGAGCGGCGAACGGGUGAGUAACACGUGGGUGACCUGCCCUCAGCUCUGGGAUAAGCCCGGGAAACUGGGUCUAAUACCGGAUAUGACUUCAUGACGCAUGUUGUGGAGUGGAAAGCCUUGUGCGGCUGAGGAUGGGCCCGCGGCCUAUCAGCUUGUUGGUGGGGUGANGGCCUACCAAGGCGACGACGGGUAGCCGGCCUGAGAGGGCGACCGGCCACACUGGGACUGAGACACGGCCCAGACUCCUACGGGAGGCAGCAGUGGGGAAUCUUGCGCAAGUGGGCGAAAGCCUGACGCAGCGACGCCGCGUGAGGGAU
rnacentral:rRNA from 1 species